rnacentral:rRNA from 1 species
GACGAACGCUGGCGGCGUGCUUAACACAUGCAAGUCGAACGGAAAGGCCCUGCUUUUGUGGGGUGCUUGAGUGGCGAACGGGUGAGUAACACGUGAGUAACCUUCCCUUGACUUUGGGAUAACUUCAGGAAACUGGGGCUAAUACCGGAUAGGAGCUCCUGCUGCAUGGUGGGGGUUGGAAAGUUUCGGCGGUUGGGGAUGGACUCGCGGCUUACCAGCUUGUUGGUGGGGGAGUGGCUUACCAAGGGUUUGAUGGGUAGCCGCCCUGAGAGGGAGACCGGCCACAUGGGGACAGAGAUACGGCCCAGACUGCUACGGGAGGGAGCAGUGGAGAAUAUUGCACAAGGGGCGGAAGCCGGAUACAGCAACGCCGCGUGCGAGAUGACGGCCUUCGGGUUGUAAACCGAUUUCGCCUGUGACGAAGCGUGAGGAAGGGAAAUGGGUAAAGAAGCACGGGUAAAUUACGG